rnacentral:tRNA from 1 species
UCUCUGGUGGUCUGGUGGUUAGGACUUGGCUCUUUCACUGCUGAAGUCCAUGUUCAAUUCCUGGUUUGGGAA